rnacentral:tRNA from 1 species
UCCCUGGUAGCUCUGAUGGUAAAGAAUCUGCCUGCAAUGCAGGAGACCUGGGUUCCAUUCCUGGGUUGGGAA